rnacentral:rRNA from 1 species
NNNUAAAUCUUGAUGCUUACCCUACUNAAGCAUCCGCCUGAGAACUACGAGCACAAACGCUUAAAACUCUAAGGACUUGGCGGUGCCCCAAACCCACCUAGAGGAGCCUGUUCUAUAAUCGAUAACCCACGAUACACCCAACCAUCCCUUGCCACAGCAGCCUACAUACCGCCGUCGCCAGCUCACCUCUACCUGAGAGCAUAGCAGUGAGCGCAAUAGCCCAACAGACAUCGCUAACAAGACAGGUCAAGGUAUAGCCCAUGGGACGGAAGAAAUGGGCUACAUUUUCUAGAAUAGAAAACACGAAAAGGGGUGUGAAACUACCCCUGGAAGGCGGAUUUAGCAGUAAAGCGGGACAAUAAAGCCCCC